AUUGAACGCUGGCGGCAGGCCUAACACAUGCAAGUCGAGCGGAGCGGCGGACGGGUGAGUAAUGCCUCGGAAUCUGCCUGGUAGUGGGGGAUAACGUCCGGAAACGGGCGCUAAUACCGCAUACUAGCAGAUGAGCCUAGGUCGGAUUAGCUAGUUGGUGGGGUAAAGGGCUACCAAGGCGACGCUCCGUAACUGGUCUGAGAGGAUGAUACGUCACACGGUAAGUGGGACACGGUCACGAGUCCUACGGGAGGCAGCAGUGGGGAAUAGUGGACAAUGGGCGGAAGCCUGAUCCAGCCAGGCCAAGUGUGUGAAGAAGGUCUUCGGAGUGUAAAGCACUUUAAGUUGUGAGGCGUUACCAACAGAAUAAGCACCGGCUAACUUCGUGCCAGCCGCCGCGGUAAUUC
rnacentral:rRNA from 1 species